CCUACGGGAGGCUGCAGUGAGGAAUCUUCCACAAUGGACGAAAGUCUGAUGGAGCGACACCGCGUGAAGGAUGAAGGCCUAACGGUUGUAAACUUCCUUUCUGAAGGAGCAUAAUGAGAGUACUUCAGGAAUAAGGGACGGCUAAAUACGUGCCAGCAGCCGCGGUAAUACGUAUGUCUCGAGCGUUACCCGGAAUCACUGGGUGUAAAGGGUUCGUAGGCGGUUUGGUAAGUUGGACAUGAAAGACCGGAGCUCAACUCCGUGUUUGUAUUCAAAACUGCUAAACUAGAAUUAGGGAGAGGUAAGCGGAAUUCUAAGUGUAGGGGUGCAAUCCGUAGAUACUUAGAGGAACACCAAAAGCGAAGGCAGCUUACUGGAACUAUAUUGACGCUGAGGAACGAAAGCGUGGGGAGCGAAAAGGAUUAGAUACCCUUGUAGUC
rnacentral:rRNA from 1 species